rnacentral:rRNA from 1 species
AACGCGAAGAACCUUACCUGGGCUUGACAUGUGAGUGACGAUCGUGGAAACACGGUUUCUCUUCGGAGCACUUUCACAGGUGGUGCAUGGCUGUCGUCAGCUCGUGUCGUGAGAUGUUGGGUUAAGUCCCGCAACGAGCGCAACCCCCGUCGUAUGUUGCCAGCAUUCAGUUGGGGACUCAUACGAGACUGCCGGUGACAAACCGGAGGAAGGUGGGGAUGACGUCAAGUCCUCAUGCCCCUUAUGUCCAGGGCUACACACGUGCUACAUUGGCGCGUACAGAGGGUUGCGAUACCGCGAGGUGGAGCGAAUCCCUUAAAGCGCGUCUCGGUUCGGAUUGCAGGCUGAAACUCGCCUGCAUGAAGGCGGAGUUGCUAGUAAUCGCGGAUCAGCAUUGCCGCGGUGAAUACGUUCCCGGGCCUUGUACACACCGCUCGUC